rnacentral:tRNA from 1 species
GCCUGGGUGGCUCAGUCGGCUGAGCAUCUGACUUCAGCUCAGGUCAUGAUCUCGCGGUUUGUGAGUUCGAGCCCCGCGUUGGGCU